rnacentral:tRNA from 1 species
GCCUGGGUGGCUCAGUCGGUUGAGCAUCUGGCUUCGGCUCAGGUCAUGAUCUCGCGGUCCGUGGGUUCGAGCCCCGCAUCGGGCU